rnacentral:rRNA from 1 species
AUUGAACGCUGGCGGCAUGCUUUACACAUGCAAGUCGGACGGUAACAGGCCGCAAGGUGCUGACGAGUGGCGAGCGGGUGAGUAAUGCAUCGGAACGUGCCCAGUCGUGGGGGAUAACGCAGCGAAAGCUGCGCUAAUACCGCAUACGAUCUGUGGAUGAAAGCGGGGGACCGUAAGGCCUCGCGCGAUUGGAGCGGCCGAUGUCAGAUUAGGUAGUUGGUGGGGUAAAGGCUCACCAAGCCGACGAUCUGUAGCUGGUCUGAGAGGACGACCAGCCACACUGGGACUGAGACACGGCCCAGACUCCUACGGGAGGCAGCAGUGGGGAAUUUUGGACAAUGGGGGCAACCCUGAUCCAGCAAUGCCGCGUGCAGGAAGAAGGCCUUCGGGUUGUAAACUGCUUUUGUACGGAACGAAACGGCUCUGGUUAAUACCUGGGGCUAAUGACGGUACCGUAAGAAUAAGCACCGGCUAACUACGUGCCAGCCGCCGCCGUAACAC